CACGUAGGGCGCAAGCGUUGUCCGGAAUUAUUGGGCGUAAAGAGCUCGUAGGCGGUCUGUCGCGUCUGCUGUGAAAACCUGGGGCUUAACCCCGGGCCUGCAGUGGGUACGGGCAGACUAGAGUGCGGUAGGGGAGACUGGAAUUCCUGGUGUAGCGGUGAAAUGCGCAGAUAUCAGGAGGAACACCGGUGGCGAAGGCGGGUCUCUGGGCCGUAACUGACGCUGAGGAGCGAAAGCAUGGGGAGCGAACAGG
rnacentral:rRNA from 1 species